GACGUAGGGGGCCAGCGUUGCUCGGAAUUACUGGGCGUAAAGGGUUCGUAGGCGGUGUGGCAAGUCGGGAGUGAAAUCUCUGGGCUCAACCCAGAGUCUGCUUCCGAAACUGCUGUGCUUGAGUGUGGGAGAGGCGCGUGGAAUUGCAGGUGUAGCGGUGAAAUGCGUAGAUAUCUGCAGGAACACCCGUGGCGAAAGCGGCGCGCUGGACCACUACUGACGCUGAGGCGCGAAAGCUAGGGGAGCAAACAGG
rnacentral:rRNA from 1 species